rnacentral:lncRNA from 1 species
UGAUUCAAGAUUUAAUAACAUUGCAUAAAACAUGGGGCAUGGGUUAGCUCAAAUCAGAUCUUUAUCUUUAAUUGAGUUAGACCUAAGAUUAGAAUCAAAGAUUUGAUUGAUCAUGUAGAGAAAUUGAUUAAGUCUAACUAAAUAUUAAAUUAAAUUAAUCAAAAUUUUUUUAAUAUAAUAGCUGUAAAUAAUCAAGUUCAUGUCUUUGAUUAGAUCAAAUGGAUCU